GUCAAGUCAUCAUGCCCCUUAUGUCCAGGGCUUCACGCAUGCUACAAUGGCCGGUACAGAGGGCUGCGAUGUCGUGAGGCGGAGCGAAUCUCUUAAAGCCGGUCUCAGUUCGGAUCGGGGUCUGCAACUCGCCUGCAUGAAGCCGGAGUUGCUAGUAACCGCGCAUCAACAGUGGCGCGGUGAAUACGUUCCCGGGCCUU
rnacentral:rRNA from 1 species